GUGGUAAUACCGGAUGCUCCGCUCCAUCGCAUGGUGGGGUGGGAAAUGCUUUUGCGGCAUGGGAUGGGGUCGCGUCCUAUCAGCUUGUUGGCGGGGUGAUGGCCCACCAAGGCGUUGACGGGUAGCCGGCCUGAGAGGGUGACCGGCCACAUUGGGACUGAGAUACGGCCCAGACUCCUACGGGAGGCAGCAGUGGGGAAUAUUGCACAAUGGGCGCAAGCCUGAUGCAGCGACGCCGCGUGCGGGAUGGAGGCCUUCGGGUUGUAAACCGCUUUUGUUCAAGGGCAAGGCACGGUUUCGGCCGUGUUGAGUGGAUUGUUCGAAUAAGCACCGGCUAACUACGUGCCAGCAGCCGCGGUAAUACGUAGGGUGCGAGCGUUAUCCGGAUUUAUUGGGCGUAAAGGGCUCGUAGGCGGUUCGUCGCGUCCGGUGUGAAAGUCCAUCGCCUAACGGUGGAUCUGCGCCGGGUACGGGCGGGCUGGAGUGCGGUAGGGGAGACUGGAAUUCCCGGUGUAACGGUGGAAUGUGUAGAUAUCGGGAAG
rnacentral:rRNA from 1 species